CGCUGGCGGCAUGCUUUACACAUGCAAGUCGAACGGCAGCGCGGACUUCGGUCUGGUGGCGAGUGGCGAACGGGUGAGUAAUAUAUCGGAACGUACCCAAGAGUGGGGGAUAACGUAGCGAAAGUUACGCUAAUACCGCAUACGAUCUAUGGAUGAAAGUGGGGGAUCGCAAGACCUCAUGCUCCUGGAGCGGCCGAUAUCUGAUUAGCUAGUUGGUGAGGUAAAGGCUCACCAAGGCGACGAUCAGUAGCUGGUCUGAGAGGACGACCAGCCACACUGGAACUGAGACACGGUCCAGACUCCUACGGGAGGCAGCAGUGGGGAAUUUUGGACAAUGGGCGCAAGCCUGAUCCAGCAAUGCCGCGUGAGUGAAGAAGGCCUUCGGGUUGUAAAGCUCUUUUGUCAGGGAAGAAACGGUAGGGGCUAAUAUCCCUUGCUAAUGACGGUACCUGAAGAAUAAGCACCGGCU
rnacentral:rRNA from 1 species